UCUGCAUACCAUUGCUGCCUACAGUACAAAUGUUUAAAAUUGGGAAAACAAUUCCACUUUUUUACAAUGUAUUUUUGUCCCUUCUUCAUGAAAACAAAACUCCAGAUUUUGUCCUGGCACCUCUCCUUGGAAGUAUCAUCGUGUUCUUGUGUGUAGAAAGGGAUGGUGACAUCAAUGCUCAAAUGUGCAUGCAUGGGAAAUUAUUCAUUUGUGGAGGGGGAUAGAGAAACUUACAUGUGCAGGUUCACAAGUAGAGAAUACCAGGGAAGAGUCAGAGGUAAGACAUGGUUGAUAAACAGACACAGUUUGCAGUAACUGACCUCCCAUAAUAUAUUUUUAAUGCAUUGUAUCUCUGAAAAGACCAUAGAGAACAAAACACAUGCCUUCAUGGUUCCUAAAGACAUACAGACAAGCAUCAGCAACAGGUAGACUCGUCCCUGACCACGAGGGGUCUCCACAAGUGAGAAGCCACUCAUUCUGGUCUAUGGUGUUCUGAUUUUAUUCCAUAUUUGUGCACAGCCAAGUUCAGUUUUAUCUACUGAAGCUCUGUGCAGUAAUCUUCCAAGCUACAGUGUGCUCAUGUAAGUGGCUGUGGCUCUCCUAUAGGGGAGGAGAGAUAUGUGUCUUGAUUGUGUGUGCAGUACAAAAAAAAUACUACUUUUUACUUGUGAGAAUCAGGGUCACAGAGUAAUAGCUGCAAAUUUGAGAAUUGUUGCAGUCACACUCAGUAGGGAGUGGUGUAGGGUACUCUCUGCACUACCUCCUGUGCUGUGAUGCUGACGUUCUACAGUGCUUAGUGACCUGUUUAAAGAAAAUAAAAAUAAAUAUUAAGCAGUAGGCCUCCAUUUGAUUCAAAGCUUUCCUAUGGGGAGGUCUAAUGUGCGCGCGACAUUUGCUGCGCAUGCGUAUUAGCGUCGGUGGGACGUCAGAGGAGGCGGAGCUGCAACCUUGAGGGAGCAGAGCAAGAAGGUCACAAAUCUCUCACUGCCUGCCUCCACUCUCCCCCAUCAGGGAACCUGCCUCCACUCUCUGCCCUCACUGGACCCCAGGGAAUACCGAUCCAUUCCAGCUCUCCCAAAGUUAGAGAGACUGAAUGGACUUGUAUUGAAUUAAAGCAUAUACUAAUUUGUAUUUGUAUGUAUGUGUCACUCAGUGUGCCUCUGUGUGUGUCUCUUUGUGUCUGUUUGUCAGUGAGUGUAUAUGUUUAGGUGACCAGCCUCGCUGAUCGUGUGGGAAUGGUGUUUUUUACUCACUCUUUUUUCCGUCUCUGUGUCAGUCUAACCAAGGGUGGCUCUGCCUCUGUGGCUGAGAUCAUCAAGCUUGAUGAUCUCGGCCAAUCCAACAUUUUCCCAUAGAAUUGGGAAGCUGUUGCUCAUGUGCUGUAAAAUGCUGCACCAAUCAGCAUCUCCUUAUAAAGAUGCAUUCAAACAAUGACAAAUGCAGAGUGUGGAGACACUGAAUGUAGAUAGGCAUCACUUUAAAGCAAGCAUGUCAAACUCAGUCUAGCACAGAUCAAAUAAAUAAGGUUUACAUUUAUG